rnacentral:rRNA from 1 species
UACGAAGGGUGCAAGCGUUACUCGGAAUUACUGGGCGUAAAGCGUGCGUAGGCGGUGAGUUAAGUCUGAUGUGAAAUCCCCGGGCUCAACCUGGGAAUGGCAUUGGAUACUGGCUCGCUGGAGUACGGUAGAGGGUGGUGGAAUUCCCGGUGUAGCGGUGAAAUGCGUAGAGAUCGGGAGGAACAUCUGUGGCGAAGGCGGCCCCCUGGACCAGUCCUGACGCUGAGGCACGAGAGCGUGGGGAGCAAACAGG